AAAUCUUGAAACUUGGGUCCUGGCUCUACUGAAAUCAUUGAAGUCUGCGUCUCACUUAGACAGAAAGAAGAUGGUGUUGUUUGCAGCCUCGUGUCCCAGAGAAGCCUGA
rnacentral:lncRNA from 1 species